CUGUUUGAUUGCUCCGAAUGACCUCUGAGAUGGGGUUUGGCGAGAGAUCGAAUGAUAAGCGUGGAUUAGGCUGAAAAGGGAUAUCUGCCUCCAGUCUAUGCGGAGAAUUGGGGUGGAAAUGGAGAUCCUCCCAGAACCUCCAUUUAAGAAGGGCACCUAAGGCAGUCAUCUCUUCAUUUCCCACCUGGCUGGACUCUUCUGAACUUCUCCAUCACACCCCCAGGUCAAGUACCUUCUUUCACCACUAUGGCAUCCUCUAAUACUCCCCAGUUUUUCUGUUCUCUUUCAUUCAUUUUUACCUGUUAGAUUGUAAGUACCUUGAAGGCAGGGACUGUAGGCUUUUGCUUUGCUUUAUAUUACUAUUUCCAGUUCUUAGCACAGUGUCUGCUAUAUAGUAGGUACUUAAUUAAUGUGUAUUGACAAAUAACUAGCAUUCACUAAGCACCUACAUACUGUGAACCAGAAAGAGGUUAAGUGCUAAGAAUCAAAGGAUCUAGAGGUUUUUAGUCUAGAGGAGAGGAAUUUGGGUGGGGAACAGUGUUGGGUGGGAAAAUAUGGUAAGUGUGAGGGACAAUAGGGCAUCAGAGUUGUCUUCCAUUAUUUGAAGGAUUUAUUUAGACUUGUUUAGAGUAUUCCCAGAACAAAGAGGAAGGAGUUGAAGUUUCAAAGUGCCAGAUUUAGGAUUGAUAAGCAGUAGUAAUAGUAUAUAUAGGCUGUAGUAAAGAAGUCUGGAUGACCAUCUGCCAAUUACAAUUACAAUGUAGAAGGGUUAGGGUUCAGGCCCAUGAUUACAAUUCUUCUUCCUUUCAUGCUUCCUGUUGAUUCCUUGGCAGGUCGUGUUGCCAGGAUUGAGUAUAUUGUAUGAAUGAAGAACUAUGGACCAAAUGUCUGGAUGAGAAAAAGCUGUAAUAUAACAAUAUUUUGCUUAGGAGGUUCCUAGGGAAUUGAUUAUGACAUUUCUUAUGACUAUUCCAUUUGCUACUGGGAAUGUUUUCACUUCUACCCCUACCACCAUACAUUAUUCUUGAUUCUUUUUGAUCUCAGGGUCAACUCAAAUUCCUAUAUUGCUUCAGAAUUACCAAGACAAAGUCAGAGCCCCAUUAAAAGAAGUGUCCUUACCCACCUCAAAUGGCUCUAGAACUCACUUACCUCUUUUUCCAAUUGAAGCCAGCCCCCUGCAUCCCUUAGUAGAAAAAGAGCUCCUUAUGGACCCACAUGCUUUCUCCCUAAUGCUUUCAUAACUAUUUCUACAAUUGGCCCUAUUUGAACAAAAGCCACUACAACUCCUAGCCAAGGACGGCACUGCCUUUAAUUCAGGUUUCUCAAACAAGAAAGGAAACUGACUGAUUACUUCGAAAUGUAAACUAUACCCCUAAAGGGAUUCCAUUUUCUUCUUAGAGUUUAUCAUUCUCCCUAUUCCAUUAUGACCAUUAGACAAACAUGUAGAAUAAAAGCUAGAGUUGGGAAGAGAUUUGUUACUGGGAUUCAGCCCUGAACAGAACUUCAUAUAAACAAAGCUGAUCCACUAUCCUGCUUGUUCUGAAUUGUUACUGUUAUUUCCUAUGGGGGUAGAUAUCUGGGGGCAGUCUGUGAAGGGGCGAAACUGAACAGGAAGGAUUUUGUAUAUUAAUUCUAUAACAAAAGUUGCCUCCUUCAACCUUUGUAUUUGAGGGGAAUUGUUUGUCCUAUGAAGACAUUAACUCCUCAUCUCUAUUAAUGGUUGCAUGGGACUGAGUUAAUAAGGUUGGUCAAGUCUACAGAACAGCAAAAUCUCUGAGAUCACAAUGUUCUUGUCCACAUGUAGAAACCAAUAUUUAGAGCUUUAUAUAAAUACUCUGAUGGAUGCUAAAUGUCCCCUUAGCUUUGCUACCACAUCCCAGCUUCCACUUCCCCAGAGUGCUGCCUUCCCCCUCCAGAGGCCAAAGUGCAGAGGUGGUGUGUAUACACAUUAAAAAAAAAAAGGCUCCAUCAGCAGCAUAUUUCUUUAAUCAUUAUUAUUUACAUUUUAUCAUCUGACAAAUGGACUUACAGAGAAUAAAUAAAGAAGAAAAGAAAA